rnacentral:rRNA from 1 species
UACGUAGGGUGCGAGCGUUGCCCGGAUUUAUUGGGCGUAAAGGGCGCGUAGGCGGCCACGCACGUCCGUUGUGAAAUCGCCCCGGCUCAACUGGGCGGGGUCAGCGGAUACGGUGUGGCUCGAGCAAGCUAGGGGGCAAUGGAAUUCCCGGUGUAGUGGUGGAAUGCGUAGAUAUCGGGAGGAACACCAGUGGCGAAGGCGGUUGCCUGGAGCUUUGCUGACGCUGAGGCGCGAAAGCGUGGGGGAGCAAACAGG